UGGAGUGUAUGAGGUAUUCCAGGCAGCAGUGGCUAUACGCUGUGAUGGAGUGAUCUUGAUCCUCUGAACUACUGACGUUAUCCAUAUUUUGGAUGAGUGUGGCUCACGUUUCCCUCUUAAAGAAACACGCUCACUUUUUGGGAAAUUAGCUUCUACCCCAGAGUUAGAUAACAGUAUACAUACCCUAUUACCCUCUUCUCUAUGCGUUCCUAUAACCCAGUCUGACACCAUUAGCCUAGCCUAGCAUCAUUCACUGGAAAGUGGGUUACACCAGUUAGCUCCCUUUUAGCUAUAGGCUAGCUAUAGGCUAACUGGUGUAACCCACCUCCAGUGAAUUAUGCUAAGCUAGGCUAGUGGUGUCAGACUGGGUUAUUGGAUGCACAGAGAGGAGAAGAGUGUGCAUAUAAACUUCAUGCAUAUUUCCCAAAAAGUGGGCAUGUUCCUUUAAUGAACUUCCAUUAAUUUCUUCAUGAUGACUUCUUAAUGAUUAAAAUGAAGUAAUGAUUGCAAAAUCCUUAAUUUAAAUAGAUUAAUCUAAGUGUCUAUCCCCCCUAAAAUUCUAUUUUCAUUGCAUUAUUGAUAACAUUUAAAUUAUUUAAAUAUUUGUUGUUGUGGUUGUGUUUUGCUACUCUUUCAUUCUCUGUGCCAUGGACAUUCAGGAUCUGUUAUGUUCAAAUAUGAUAUGAAGGAAUAUAGGGAGACUGUUGUAAGAUUUUUUAAAAGACAUUGUCAAAAACACUGGAGGAAGUCCAUUAAUUUGAAUUUUUUUUAAUAACAAAUGUUUUAUAUCUGCUAACAAUAUUUUUUUUUUUUUUAAACAUACAUUAUAUUAUAUGAAUGACUGUAGUCAAGUAUGUAACAAUAAGCUGUACUGUUCUGAUAUUGUAUAUUUGAUUGUUUAAUAAUAUACAAGUGUACACAGCACUCAGAUGUAUGUAGAAAUAUUACAGUUCACUUAUCACCACUAUAAUGAGUAUAGUAAUAAUGAUACGACCUUUUCUUUUUGUAACUAUGCAAUACUUCUUGUUGUAGUGAAAUAUGCUCUUGUAUGUUUUACAGCCGGUUUGGAACACAUAGAUAAGCCUACUGUCUCCUACAUAGCCUCUAGCAGCUAAGCAAAGUGCAUUCACAUGAAGUGCCUUCAAAUCGUAAAGUUGUAUUACUAAUGGAGUGAAGCGUUUGUGAGCUUCUGAAUGAGGAUGGUGUUUGACUGCCUUGUUUUAGUGAGGUUAGCGGGCCGACGGCUAGCUCUAUGAGAGGCCAGCAGCAGAGGCCAUUUUGCAGGAGCAUUGCCAGCUCUUUUGAAAAGCACAAGAUUAAAAUGAGGUUUCUUUUCACACGUGCAUGGUAUAUUCUUUUCUUUUUUACAAGUCUGAAGUGCUUGUUUGCAUAGGGGUAGACUGACUCUGAAGAAAACACAUUAUUAACAAAAAAAUGCUGAAUGUUUUUCACUUUUCUAAGACCUUCAUUCUUUUUUUUAAAGUAUACUUUUUGUGCUUUUUGCCUUUAUUGCGACAGGAUAAUGAAAAGAUUGACAGGAAGUGGGAGAGAGAGAUAGGGUGUGACCUUUAUUAUUUGAAUGUAGAACAGCCUCAACUGCCAAAACAUCAGAGGGAUGGGUUGGGAUGACUCAUUUUGAGCAAUAAUCGCAUGGAUCUGGCAGUCCAUCUCUCAGGUGAAGAGCCUUGUCCUUCCAGAAGUGGAAUUUCUAGCUUUAGUGGCUCUUUCCCAUCACAUUAUGGCUUGGCUUAUCAGCAUGCCUAUUGGCUUAUCAGCAUGCUUUGUUAUAUGGUGGUAUAACAUUUCCCCCAAACCAGAGUAUUGCUAUGACUGUUUAUAGUACACAAAUGUAUGGUUUGGUUAUCUAAUGUAAGAAUGGAAUGUUAUGUAUCAGACAGGUGGAUGAUUGGAAGGGCACGUUGGCCCUUGGGUGUGUGUAUUAGAUAGGUCCCCAUGAGUGUGUGACUCCCAGUUGUCAUUAAGAUAUAAAGAGUUUGGUUGUUGAAGGACAGAACGUGGCACUUGAUGGGCUCAACAGUGCUUCCCCAGUGCCAGUGGAAGGAGGAGAGGAUUGUUCUAAGCAUUAAAGUAUGUCAAGUAUGUUUUCA